AGCGCCUUUUGGCCCAAAAACAAAGGACAUCACCUUUCGCUGGAAGCUUUCCUUUGUCAGAAAGUAGGUGAGUUCGAAAACUGUGAGUUGUGCGAGAGAGGAGAGUCGCGGGAGAACUGCAGGAGGAUGCGUCUCCAAAGCUCGAAGGGAUGGUCACCGGACGGAAAACCAAAAGAGAAGAAGGAGUACACUUUCACAGAGUUACAUGGCCCUGAGUAAUUCAUGUAUGAGAAAGUAAAUGACAAGAUUGCUUGUACGUGGAGAGAGAGCAUCUGGGGUUCUUCCAUCGGCCAAGAGCAACAACGCCUUCUUAUCAUCAAUUCAUCUUUCAUUCGCCAACGGUCUUUCACCUACAACAAAAAAACAAUACAAGGCCACAUUCAGAAAAGAGAAGAAGCUGGAGCAUUGACCGACAAUUACAAGCUAUAGCACAAAAGCGAAAUUAGUACAAAGAGAUAAGUCUUUCAAUUCAAGCUUACUGCCAUUGUUUGCUCUUGCGUGUAUGAUUCUGUGUGUCAUUGUAAGACACUAGUAGAAAAGUAACAUUCUAUAACCAGAUCUAUCAUGACAGAGGAAAAUAAUCCAUCAUAAUAGGUUGAUCGGUGACAUAAUUAUAAUAAAUUUAAUAUGUAACGCGGUGGCAAACUUGUAAAUAAUUUCAAAACGUAUUAUAACGGAGUUAUGAAUAUUUGUUAUAAUAUAUCUAGCAUUUCACUUUUCAAAACCUAAUGACUUAUUCUUCUUUCUCGACGCCACACCAGAAACACCAACUCGUAGGGAAACCAUCACCAUUCAACAUUUCCUCUCUCGAGCAUACGAAGCUUCUCCAUCUCUCGAGAGUUCUUAAGCUGUAAGUCUCCAUUUCUCUGCACAGAUCUGCAUUUUCGCUUCACUCAUCAUCCAACCACAUCUAUUGCUAGGGUUUCUCACAUACCUUCAUCUUUUUCGCCUUUACCUUCGAUUCCACCGAUUGAAACAUCAUUUUCCACAUCUCCACCGAUUAUAAUCACAUUCUACCAAUUAUAAUCCCUUUCCACCGGUUUAACACUGGUUUGAAGGAUGUUGUUGUGGCCGAGGUUAUCACGGCGAGGGCAGUGGAGCUGGAGAUGGAUGUGGCGAGACUAUAGCACGAUUUGAUAUCGGAGAUGACUGCCUCAGAGGAGGCGAGGGCGGAUGCAUCUGAAUUGAGGAAGGAUUUAGGGGAGAAGGAGUUGUUGGUUGAGUCUCUAGAGAAGGAACUGACAGCUUUGAAGAAUGUGAAGGCAGAGGGUGCGAUUAGGGUUAGGGAUUUGGAGAAAAAGAUUGGAAUUCUGGAAACCAAGGAAAUUGAGGAAAGGAACAAGAGGAUUAGGUUUGAGGAGGAGAUGAGAGAUAGGGUUGAUGAAAAGGAGAAGGAUUGAUAGAGGUGUAAAUGACAUACAUGAUGAAGGGAAAGGAUUGAAGUUGUAGUGGCCGAUGGUGGCAGCAGGGUCUAAAACAACUCUGAUUGAAAUGAGUCAUCUGAUCUUUUGAGAGAGCAAGUGUUAAAUGUAUUACCAUUUACUUUCUAUUUGCUGUGGCAGGCAUGUGCAAUAUAUAACAAUUGGUGGCCCAUGUUAUCAGCUCUGAUGUAUGUGCUUGUACCUAUGCCUUCUUAUUCUUUGGAGGUGGAUCCUCUCAAUUUCUAAUGAGCCGUGAUGGUGGGGGGUAGGUAUCUGUUGCCAUUUAAUUUCAGCUAGUAAGCAGUUCUAAUGCUGGCAGAUCAGCUAAGUUGAGUACAUACACUCCCGGGGUUUUCUGCAUCGAGAUAUAAAGCCUGACAACUUUUUAAUGGGUUUAGGCCGGAAGGCAAAUCAGGAAGAUGAAGCUCGUAAUUUUUUUCAACGGGUAAGAUUGUUUACUAUUUUGUGUAGGUGAGAAGACAACUUUGUCACACAUUAUUCAAGCUAAUUUCUGAUUUCGGAAGCAGAUAAUCUCUGAUGUGGAGUACUGUUUCAGGAAUAUGGUGAUUCAUAGAGAUUUGAAGCCCUAACUUGGUGAUUUAUCCCAGGUUAUCUCCGGGAAAUUGAAUUUGAACUAAGUUUACCGUAAGUGAUGGUGAUUUUUUGUGAAUUAACACAAUUUUGUCACUAUGUGCCGAAAAAUGUCGAGUUCGUGCUAAACUGAUAUGGCUUUAAGAGAAUAAAGAGAAACCUGAAAAAAUAUAUUAUUGAUAUGGUUUGAGAGGUACAACUGAUUGUUUUUAUAGGAUACUAUAGUUACUUAGAUCUAACCUACUGUUAGUUAUUUACAACAGAAUAAUAACAGGAAAUGACUGUCUAACAA